GAUGAACGCUGGCGGCGUGCCUAAUACAUGCAAGUCGAGCGAACGGACGAGAAGCUUGCUUCUCUGAUGUUGGCGGCGGACGGGUGAGUAACACGUGGAUAACCUACCUAUAAGACUGGGAUAACUUCGGGAAACCGGAGCUAAUACCAGAUAAUAUUUUGAACCGCAUGGUUCAAAAGUGAAAGACGGUCUUGCUGUCACUUAUAGAUGGAUCCGCGCUGCAUUAGCUAGUUGGUAAGGUAACGGCUUACCAAGGCAACGAUGCAUAGCCGACCUGAGAGGGUGAUCGGCCACACUGGAACUGAGACACGGUCCAGACUCCUACGGGAGGCAGCAGUAGGGAAUCUUCCGCAAUGGGCGAAAGCCUGACGGAGCAACGCCGCGUGAGUGAUGAAGGUCUUCGGAUCGUAAAACUCUGUUAUUAGGGAAGAACAUAUGUGUAAGUAACUGUGCACAUCUUGACGGUACCUAAUCAGAAAGCCACGGCUAACUACGUGCCAGCAGCCGCGGUAAUACGUAGGUGGCAAGCGUUAUCCGGAAUUAUUGGGCGUAAAGCGCGCGUAGGCGGUUUUUUAAGUCUGAUGUGAAAGCCCACGGCUCAACCGUGGAGGGUCAUUGGAAACUGGAAAACUUGAGUGCAGAAGAGGAAAGUGGAAUUCCAUGUGUAGCGGUGAAAUGCGCAGAGAUAUGGAGGAACACCAGUGGCGAAGGCGACUUUCUGGUCUGUAACUGACGCUGAUGUGCGAAAGCGUGGGGAUCAAACAGGAUUAGAUACCCUGGUAGUCCACGCCGUAAACGAUGAGUGCUAAGUGUUAGGGGGUUUCCGCCCCUUAGUGCUGCAGCUAACGCAUUAAGCACUCCGCCUGGGGAGUACGACCGCAAGGUUGAAACUCAAAGGAAUUGACGGGGACCCGCACAAGCGGUGGAGCAUGUGGUUUAAUUCGAAGCAACGCGAAGAACCUUACCAAAUCUUGACAUCCUUUGACAACUCUAGAGAUAGAGCCUUCCCCUUCGGGGGACAAAGUGACAGGUGGUGCAUGGUUGUCGUCAGCUCGUGUCGUGAGAUGUUGGGUUAAGUCCCGCAACGAGCGCAACCCUUAAGCUUAGUUGCCAUCAUUAAGUUGGGCACUCUAAGUUGACUGCCGGUGACAAACCGGAGGAAGGUGGGGAUGACGUCAAAUCAUCAUGCCCCUUAUGAUUUGGGCUACACACGUGCUACAAUGGACAAUACAAAGGGCAGCGAAACCGCGAGGUCAAGCAAAUCCCAUAAAGUUGUUCUCAGUUCGGAUUGUAGUCUGCAACUCGACUACAUGAAGCUAGAAUCGCUAGUAAUCGUAGAUCAGCAUGCUACGGUGAACAUAAACGCGGGUCU
rnacentral:rRNA from 1 species